rnacentral:rRNA from 1 species
GGAUUAGAUACCCUGGUAGUCCACGCCGUAAACUAUGAUUACUCGAUAUUGGCGAUACACAGUCAGUGUCUAAGCGAAAGUGAUAAGUAAUCCACCUGGGGAGUACGUUGGCAACAAUGAAACUCAAAGGAAUUGACGGGGGCCCGCACAAGCGGUGGAGCAUGUGGUUUAAUUCGAUGAUACGCGAGGAACCUUACCAGGGCUUAAAUGCAAACUGACAGAUCUGGAAACAGAUUUUUCUUCGGACAGAUUGCAAGGUGCUGCAUGGCUGUCGUCAGCUCGUGCCG